rnacentral:rRNA from 1 species
CAGCAGCCGCGGUAAUUCGGGGGGUGCAAGCGUUGUUCGGAUUUAUUGGGCGUAAAGCGCGUGUAGGCGGUUUGGUAAGUCUGAUGUGAAAGCCCUGGGCUCAACCCGGGAAGUGCAUUGGAUACUGUCAGACUUGAAUACGGGAGAGGGCAGUGGAAUUCCUAGUGUAGGAGUGAAAUCCGUAGAUAUUAGGAGGAACACCGGUGGCGAAGGCGGCUGCCUGGACCGAUAUUGACGCUGAGACGCGAAAGCGUGGGUAGCAAACAGGAUUAGAUACCCUGGUAGUCCACGCCGUAAACGAUGAGAACUAGGUGUUGCGGGUAUUGACCCCUGCAGUGCCGUAGCUAACGCAUUAAGUUCUCCGCCUGGGAAGUACGGUCGCAAGACUAAAACUCAAAGGAAUUGACGG